CAAACACUUAGUAAUUUUUCUUUUCCUUAUCACCAAAUCACACUCACAUUUGAAUACCCUCACUUUAGCCAUCUGAUCAGAAAAAAGUUUCGCCCCUCACCUUCACAAAUCACCUUCGAAUUAAUUCUUUAAAACCCUAACCCUAACACACCCACACACUCACACUCAUUCUCACCAUCACUCACCACCCCCACCACGCCCCCUUUCACACACACACACCCAGAUCCGAGAGAAAGAGUGAACCAGAGGGAGGAGAGGAUGAGACGGAAAUGAGAGAGCGCGAUCGAGAGAAUGGAGAGUGAGAGGGGGUCACCGCCGCAACGUCGCUGCAGCCGCCGCCAUUGCCGUCGCGGAGCAGGGAGCCCGGAGGGGAGAGAGAGACGAUUUGCAGAUGAGAUGGAGAGAAAGGACGAAGAUGCGACGCAAGAGAGGAGGCUGUUCCGCCGUGCACUGUCGUCGCUCCUGGGGUCGAUUGAAGCUGCCGUCGCAGCUAGGGCUUGCCGUGCUCCUGGGGUCGAUCUCUGCGCUUCUCAUCGUUGUCUCUGUGCUCACGUCGUCGAUUAGAAGGGAGCUCAAAAAGUUAGGUAUGACACUUCCAAAGGAUGCAUUCGAACUGAUUUUUGUUUUCCUCCAAGAGUGGGACAAAUUCCACUUUUUCCCAAAAUUUCAGCAACGAGGCUGCUGGACAUGUAAUUUUGGUAUUUCUUUUUCUGUGUGGUUAAUUUAGAAAUAUGCUGUAUUUGCAUUUGAAUUACAUAUGAUUGAAGAACAGAGAUUUUAUAAGGAUGUUGAAACUUGAAACAAAGAAAUGGACCACUGACUCAUUAAAAUUUUAAAAAUGAUCAGUUUGGAUGCUUGGCUAAACGUAUUAGUGGAGAUAUUCAAUGAUUGUCACAUAGGAAGUGAAACUUGAUCUCUUAUUUUCUGUAAUUAUGCUUGGCUAAGUGCUUCAGUAUAAUUUUACUUUGGUGCA